rnacentral:rRNA from 1 species
CGGGAGACACACGGCGGGUGCUAACGUCCGUCGUGAAGAGGGAAACAACCCAGACCGCCAGCUAAGGUCCCAAAGUCAUGGUUAAGUGGGAAACGAUGUGGGAAGGCCCAGACAGCCAGGAUGUUGGCUUAGAAGCAGCCAUCAUUUAAAGAAAGCGUAAUAGCUCACUGGUCGAGUCGGCCUGCGCGGAAGAUGUAACGGGGCUAAACCAUGCACCGAAGCUGCGGCAGCGAACGUAUCACUUAAAGCGAUUCAGCGGGUUACGAUUGACGGAGCGAAGCGACGUCAAAGCGUAUACAAAGUCGAGUCGGUUUAAGGAUACGUUCGUUGGGUAGGGGAGCGUUCUGUAAGCCCGUGAAGGUGGCCUGUGAGGGUUGCUGGAGGUAUCAGAAGUGCGAAUGCUGACAUAAGUAACGAUAAAGCGGGUGAAAAGCCCGCUCGCCGGAAGACCAAGGGUUCCUGUCCAACGUUAAUCGGGGCAGGGUGAGUCGACCCCUAAGGCGAGGCCGAAAGGCGUAGUCGAUGGGAAACGGGUUAAUAUUCCCGUACUUGGUGUUACUGCGAAGGGGGGACGGAGAAGGCUAUGUUGGCCGGGCGACGGUUGUCCCGGUUUAAGCGUGUAGGUGUGUGUUCCAGGUAAAUCCGGUUCACUUUAACACUGAGGCGUGACGACGAGGCACUACGGUGCUGAAGCAACAAAUGCCCUGCUUCCAGGAAAAGCCUCUAAGCAUCAGGUAACACGAAAUCGUACCCCAAACCGACACAGGUGGUCAGGUAGAGAAUACCAAGGCGCUUGAGAGAACUCGGGUGAAGGAACUAGGCAAAAUGGUGCCGUAACUUCGGGAGAAGGCACGCUGACACGUAGGUGAAGUGAUUUACUCAUGGAGCUGAAGUCAGUCGAAGAUACCAGCUGGCUGCAACUGUUUAUUAAAAACACAGCACUGUGCAAACACGAAAGUGGACGUAUACGGUGUGACGCCUGCCCGGUGCCGGAAGGUUAAUUGAUGGGGUCAGCGCAAGCGAAGCUCCUGAUCGAAGCCCCGGUAAACGGCGGCCGUAACUAUAACGGUCCUAAGGUAGCGAAAUUCCUUGUCGGGUAAGUUCCGACCUGCACGAAUGGCGUAAUGAUGGCC